UCACUCACUCACUCACUCACACACACACACACACACACACACACACACACACACACACACACACACACACACACACACACACACACACACACACACACCUACUUUUCAGCGCGUGGACUCUCACAUGAUCUCGUGCCACCGGCCCGUCUUCGUUCUCCUCCAGGGCAGUUCAGAGCACGCGCCUUAAAAGGGGCAUUAUGUGCACAACCUGAAGCCCUAGCGUUUACAUUGUGAACCUUCAGAGAUCAAGCUUGUAGAAGACAUCUGAAACCGAGCAGCUGGCACGUUAUUGAUCAAAUGUCCUUUUUAUAAAGGUUUCAUUUACACAAGCGUACAUGGAGGCGGUAGUUUACAAGAGUAACUCCAUCAAUGUUUAGCAGAUGCGUAUAAAAAAAAAGUAAAAUCCUUAAAAACAA